rnacentral:rRNA from 1 species
AAAAUAAAAAUUAAUUAUUUAUAUUAUAAUAAAAAUAAUUUUAAUAUUAAAAUAAGGGGGUUUAAGUAUUUUAAUAGAAAAAAUUAGAAAUUUUAUAAUAAAUUAGUAUAGUAAUAGAAAUUUGAAAUAGUUGAAAAUAAAAUUAUUAAAAAGUAAAUUUAAUUUAUUGUAUCUUGUGUAUCAGAGUUUAUUAAAUAAAUUAUAAAGAUAUAUAUAUAUAUCUCGAAUUUAAAAGAGUUAAUUAAUUAAUAAAUUUAAUGUAAAAUAAUUAUUUUAAAUAAUUAAUUAGAAAUGAAAUGUUAAUCGUUUUUAAAUAUAUCUAGUUUUUUUAGAAAAAAAUUUAAUUUUAAAUUUGUUUUUUUUUUAAUUAAAUAAAUAAUUUAAAUAAGAAUAAUUUUUAUAAUUUAAGGGAUAAGCUUUAAAUUAAAAAAUUUAUAAUAAUUUUUUUUUUAUUUAAAAUUUUUAAAAUUUAUAUUGUUUAAAAAUUAAAAUUUUUUAUAAAAAAUUUUAAAAUAAAUAAAAUUUAAAAUAAAUUUAAUUUUUUAUAAAAAUAUAAUUUUUAAUAUAUAUAUAUAUAUAAAUUAGAAAUAAUGAUAAAAUUAGUAUAAAUAAAAUAAUUGUAAAUAAAAUAAUUUAUUAAUUAAUUAAAAGGAAUUCGGCAAAAUUUUAUAUUCACCUGUUUAACAAAAACAUGUCUUUUUGAUUUAAUUUAAAGUCUAAUCUGCCCACUGAUUUUAAAUUAAAGGGCUGCAGUAAUUUGACUGUACAAAGGUAGCAUAAUCAUUAGUCUUUUAAUUGAAGACUUGUAUGAAUGAUUUGAUGAAAUAUAAACUGUCUCUAAUUUAUAUAUAAAAUUUAAUUUUUUAGUUAAAAAGCUAAAAUAUUUUUAAAAGACGAGAAGACCCUAUAGAGUUUUAUAAUUUAUAAAUUAAAAUAUUUUUAUAAAAUUUAAAUAUUAUAUUUUAUAAAUUAUUUUAUUGGGGUGAUAAAAAAAUAAAAAAAACUUUUUUUUUAUAAAUAUCAAAAAUAAUUGAGUAAAUGAUCCAAAUUAAUGAUUAAAAGAAAAAAUUACCUUAGGGAUAACAGCGUAAUAUUUUUUUUUAGUACAAAUAAAAAAAAAAGUUUGCGACCUCGAUGUUGGAUUAAGAUAAAAUUUAAAUGCAAAAGUUUAAAAUUUUGAUCUGUUCGAUCAUUAAAAUCUUACAUGAUCUGAGUUCAAACCGGUGUAAGCCAGGUUGGUUUCUAUCUUUAGAUUAAUAAAAUAUUUUAGUACGAAAGGAUCAAAUAUUUAAAAUAGUUUUAUUUAGAAGAAUUUUAAUAAUAGUAAAUAUUUUUAAAUAUG